rnacentral:sRNA from 1 species
ACCGGCUCUGUCUGGAUCCUGUGACAAGGAGGCCCUGGACUGGAGCGCCUCACCUCUGCACCGCACCCCUCAGCCAGCAGCGCCUCUGCCCUGACCCUGGAGCCUGCCCUGACUCAUGCCAGUGGAGUCUGUGGGGGCCAUGGAGCCCCUGCCAGGUGCCCUGCAGUGGGGGGUUCAGGCUACGCUGGAGAGAGGCAGAGGCCCUCCGUGGAGGAGGCUGCCAGGGGCCAUGGGCUCAGACAGAAAGCUGCAACAGAGGGCCCUGCCCAGGUGAGAGCUGCGAGGCCCAAGACACUGUAUUCACCCUGGACUGUGCCAACCAGUGCCCACGCAGCUGUGCCGACCUCUGGGACCGCGUUCAGUGCCUGCAGGGACCCUGCCGCCCAGGCUGCCGCUGUCCCCCUGGCCAGCUGGUCCAGGAUGGGCGCUGUGUGCCGAUCUCCUCUUGCCGCUGUGGCCUCCCCAGUGCCAAUGCCUCUUGGGAGCUGGCCCCGGCCCAGGCAGUGCAGCUGGACUGCCAAAACUGCACCUGUGUCAACGGGUCCCUGGUGUGCCCACACCAGGAGUGUCCAGUCCUUGGGCCUUGGUCAGCCUGGAGCAGUUGCUCGGCCCCCUGUGGUGGGGGCCCUAUGGAGCGACAUCGGACCUGCGAGGGGGGUCCUGGGGUGGCACCAUGCCAGGCCCAGGACACAGAGCAACGGCAGGAGUGUAACCUGCAGCCCUGCCCUGAGUGCCCCCCUGGCCAGGUGCUUAGCACCUGUGCCACCUCAUGCCCGCGCCUCUGCUGGCAUCUGCAGCCUGGUGCCAUCUGUGUGCAGGAGCCCUGCCAGCCUGGCUGUGGCUGCUCUGGAGGGCAGUGUCUGCCACGGUGGAGCCUUCAGCUACUCCCUCAUUGACUGUCAGGGUGAGAUGUGGCUGUCCAUGCCCUGCUGCACCUCCAAAGUCAAGGCCUGGGACUGGCACUGAGGAGGAGAGACGGGCCCUGCUCACAGACUAGACAGAGCUUCAGGAAGCCCUCCCCUGUCUGUCCACACUGACCUCUCUCUAACUGGAGACCCAGCACCCCCUGCCGAGGGCUCCCUGGGCACUCAGUGUGGUCUGCCCCACUUGUGGGGGCAUUCCCUAGCACACAGUAUACACAGAGCCAGGGCUGUGAUGCCAGGAAGUGGAAGGUUCUUUCCCUGCCAGUGAGGAAACUGAGGUCUGGAGGGGUGAGCGGAAAUGAGGGGCCUGGCCUGGCAGCCCCCGGGCUGGUAGCAUUUGCCCUGUGGGGUGCAGUGUUACCCCCAUGUGAUCAGGACCAAGGGCCCACCCACCGUGUUCCCAGCUCUGCCACGCUGGGCUCUGUGAAUGCAGACAUGCAGCAUGGCCAGCCUCCGGGCAGACCACCCCCCCAGAACAGGCAGAGACAGGGCACAGUCUCUAGGUCUCUGACAGGCAGGUAGAACCCCAGAGGGUGAGACAUCAGUGCUGAGAAUAGAGAGGCCGAGUGGACAGGAUUGGUCAGGGAGGCUUUUCUGAAGGAGGUGAGACCUGGCCUGGGUCCAGCUAGUGUUUGGGUGGGUGGAUAAGAAAGAUCAGGAGGUGUGGUUGGAGGCUGCUGCGGCUGAGAAGGCAAGACGGGGACAUGUGGGUGCUCAGCUUGGGAGGGGAGGAAUCGAGGCUGGAUCCAGGGCUGACCUGAAAGCUGGGUUGGAUGGUCUUCCCUGGCAGAGUGCCCCCCUGGGGAAAUGUGGCAGCAGGUGGCCCCGGGGAGCUGGGGCUCUGCGAGCAGACGUGCCUGGAGAUGAAUGCCACAGAGACCCAGAGUAACUGCAGUUCAGCUCGAGCCUCGGGCUGCGUGUGCCAGCCCGGGCACUUCCGCAGCCAGGCAGGCCCCUGCGUCCCCGAAGACCACUGCGAGUGCUGGCACCUCGGGCAUCCCCACCUGCCUGGAUCUGAAUGGCAGGAGGCCUGUGAGAGCUGCCUCUGCCUCAGUGGGAGGCCUGUCUGCACCCAGCACUGCUCCCCACUCACCUGUGCUCAGGGCGAGGAGAUGGUGCUGGAGCCAGGGAGCUGCUGUCCCUCUUGCCGCAGGGAGGCUCCGGAGGAGCAGUCGCCCUCCUGCCAGCUCCUCACGGAGCUUCGAAACUUCACCAAAGGGACCUGUUACCUGGACCAGGUAGAAGUGAGCUACUGCAGUGGGUACUGCCCAUCCAGCACCCAUGUCAUGCCAGAGGAGCCAUACCUGCAGAGCCAGUGUGACUGCUGCAGCUACCGUCUAGACCCGGAGAGCCCUGUGCGGAUCCUGAACCUGCGCUGUCUGGGUGGCCACACAGAGCCCGUGGUGCUGCCGGUCAUCCACAGCUGCCAGUGCAGCUCCUGCCAGGGAGGUGACUUCUCAAAGCGCUAACAGGCUCCGCUGGGUGAGUCCACAGCUGUCCCUCUUGUGAUCAUGGGACUCAGCAGCACUGACCACGUCCUUCCACGCUCUCUCACCUGCCCCCAACUGGGGGCCCAUGACUUGGCAUUAGCAUGUUCCAAAUAAAGUGAUACUGGCAA